ACGCUGGCGGCAGGCCUAACACAUGCAAGUCGAGCGGAUGAAGAGAGCUUGCUCUCUGAUUCAGCGGCGGACGGGUGAGUAAUGCCUAGGAAUCUGCCUGGUAGUGGGGGACAACGUCUCGAAAGGGACGCUAAUACCGCAUACCUCCUACGGGAGAAAGCAGGGGACCUUCGGGCCUUGCGCUAUCAGAUGAGCCUAGGUCGGAUUAGCUAGUUGGUGAGGUAAUGGCUCACCAAGGCGACGAUCCGUAACUGGUCUGAGAGGAUGAUCAGUCACACUGGAACUGAGACACGGUCCAGACUCCUACGGGAGGCAGCAGUGGGGAAUAUUGGACAAUGGGCGAAAGCCUGAUCCAGCCAUGCCGCGUGUGUGAAGAAGGUCUUCGGAUUGUAAAGCACUUUAAGUUGGGAGGAAGGGCAGUAAGCGAAUACCUUGCUGUUUUGACGUUACCGACAGAAUAAGCACCGGCUAACUCUGUGCCAGCAGCCGCGGUAAUACAGAGGGUGCAAGCGUUAAUCGGAAUUACUGGGCGUAAAGCGCGCGUAGGUGGUUUGUUAAGUUGAAUGUGAAAUCCCCGGGCUCAACCUGGGAACUGCAUCCAAAACUGGCAAGCUAGAGUAGGGCAGAGGGUGGUGGAAUUUCCUGUGUAGCGGUGAAAUGCGUAGAUAUAGGAAGGAACACCAGUGGCGAAGGCGACCACCUGGGCUCAUACUGACACUGAGGUGCGAAAGCGUGGGGAGCAAAC
rnacentral:rRNA from 1 species